GGUGGAAAUUAGGUUGUAACAUAUGAA
rnacentral:piRNA from 1 species